rnacentral:tRNA from 1 species
GUUCCCAUAGUUCAACUGGAUAGAACUGGGGCGUCCUAAGCCCUCAAUCCAGGUUCAACUCCUGGUGGGAACA